ensembl:snoRNA
AUCCUUUCGUAUAGUUCAUAAGCGUGAUGACUAGGGUUUCACCUCAUGUGUAAGACGUGCCUCCCUCAAACCUUAUUACAAGGUCAGCACAUUACCUGUCUGACA